rnacentral:lncRNA from 1 species
UCUAACAAAUGACAUAUCUGCUCCAUUUUUACUUUUUGUACAGGGGUUAAGAAACAUACAGAGUAUUUUUCUAUAUUAAUCCAAUAUUUUAAAUAUUCUACCCCACCAUAUUUUGUGGGGAUAUGCUCUUACAUCUACAUUUGUAUAUAUAAUAUUUGAAUAACAACACAAUAUUGUUAACUGUUUUACUGUUAACAAAAUCCUCAGACACACCUAACAUGACUUCUUUUGCACUGAAAGG